rnacentral:rRNA from 1 species
GAUGAACGCUGGCGGCGUGCCUAAUACAUGCAAGUCGAGCGAACAGAUGAGGAGCUUGCUCCUCUGACGUUAGCGGCGGACGGGUGAGCAACACGUGGAUAACCUACCUAUAAGACUGGGAUAACUUCGGGAAACCGGAGCUAAUACCGGAUAAUAUAUUGAACCGCAUGGUUCAAUAGUGAAAGACGGUUUUGCUGUCACUUCUAGAUGGAUCCGCGCCGCAUUAGCUAGUUGGUAAGGUAACGGCUUACCAAGGCAACGAUGCGUAGCCGACCUGAGAGGGUGACCGGCCACACUGGAACUGAGACACGGUCCAGACUCCUACGGGAGGCAGCAGUAGGGAAUCUUCCGCAAUGGUCGAAAGCCUUACGGAGCAACGCCGCGUGAGUUAUGAAGGUCUUCGGAUCGUAAAACUCUGUUAUUAGGGAAGAACAAAUGUGGAAGUAACUAUGCACGUCUUGACGGUACCUAAUCAGAAAGCCACGGCUAACUACGUG